GACGAACGCUGGCGGCGUGCUUAACACAUGCAAGUCGAACGGAAAGGCCCUGCUUGCAGGGUACUCGAGUGGCGAACGGGUGAGUAACACGUGGGUGAUCUGCCCUGCACUUCGGGAUAAGCCUGGGAAACUGGGUCUAAUACCGGAUAGGAGCCAUUUUUAGUGUGAUGGUUGGAAAGUUUUUUCGGUGUAGGAUGAGCUCGCGGCCUAUCAGCUUGUUGGUGGGGUAAUGGCCUACCAAGGCGGCGACGGGUAGCCGGCCUGAGAGGGUGGACGGCCACAUUGGGACUGAGAUACGGCCCAGACUCCUACGGGAGGCAGCAGUGGGGAAUAUCGCACAAUGGGCGCAAGCCUGAUGCAGCGACGCCGCGUGGGGGAUGACGGCCUUCGGGUUGUAAACUCCUUUCGCCAGGGACGAAGCUUUUUGUGACGGUACCUAGAUAAGAAGCACCGGCUAACUACGUG
rnacentral:rRNA from 1 species